GUAUCAUCGACUUUGGACUGAGCUGCUUUGUUAAGGAGCGGUCGCUGUACCGCGUCUUCUAUGGUACAGACAUUUACUCCCCUCCCGAGUGGUACAGGCGCAGUUGCUACAGGUGUGGACCCACCACGGUAUGGCAAAUGGGAGUGGUUCUGUACGAAGCGCUUCAUGUGGGGGACUUUAACACCACGAGCUUCCUCAAAAAGCGCCUGAAAUUCAAAAGCCGUCUGUCUAAAUGCUGCCGGGAUUUCUUGGACGCGUGUUUAACCAGAGUCCCAGAGAUGCGGCCGACGUUGGAGGACCUCCAGCAUCACACUUGGCUGAGAUAAACCCAUCACACACACACACACAAACACACGCAAUUCAGACGUUAUCAUGUAUGUGUGAUAUAUGAGAUAACUUUCUUGUUUUCUGUUUGACAGGAAAUAAUUUUUUUAAUUGCCCUAUUUUAAACUUUGGUGUUUUGGAAUUCCUGUAACCCCCCAGCCA